rnacentral:rRNA from 1 species
UACGGGGGGGGCAAGCGUUGCUCGGAAUCAUUGGGCGUAAAGCGUACGCAGGCUGUUCGUUAAGUCGGGUGUGAAAGCCCGGGGCUCAACCCCGGAACUGCGCCCGAAACUGGCGAGCUUGAAUGCGGGAGAGGGAAGCGGAAUUCCUGGUGUAGAGGGUGAAAUUCGUAGAUAUCAGGAGGAACACCGGUGGCGAAAGCGGCUCCUGGCC